CACGUAGUUAGCCGGCGCUUCUUCUGCAGGUACCGUCACCCGAAAGCUUCUUCCCUACUGAAAGAGGUUUACAACCCGAAGGCCGUCAUCCCUCACGCGGCGUCGCUGCAUCAGGCUUUCGCCCAUUGUGCAAUAUUCCCCACUGCUGCCUCCCGUAGGAGUCUGGGCCGUGUCUCAGUCCCAGUGUGGCCGGUCACCCUCUCAGGCCGGCUACCCGUCAUCGCCUUGGUAGGCCUUCACCCCACCAACAAGCUGAUAGGCCGCGAGCCCAUCCCAGACCAGAAACCCUUUCAACAACCCGACAUGCAUCAGGAAGUGAUAUCCAGUAUUAGCCCCGGUUUCCCGGAGUUAUCCCAGAGUCUGGGGCAGGUUACUCACGUGUUACUCACCCGUUCGCCACUAAUCAAGGAUGCAAGCACCCCAUCAUCGUUCGACUUGCAUGUGUAAAGCACGCCGCCAGCGUUCGUCCUGAGCCAGGAUCAAACUCU
rnacentral:rRNA from 1 species